rfam:Stegodyphus mimosarum contig11796, whole genome shotgun sequence.
GCCUUCGUGGUGUAAUCGAAAGCAUACUCGACGCAUAUUCGAGAGGUCAAGGGUUCGAGUCUUGGCGAAGGCA